AGGUUGCUUCGGUAACUGACCUAGCGGCGGACGGGUGAGUAAUGCUUAGGAAUCUGCCUAUUAGUGGGGGACAACAUUCCGAAAGGAAUGCUAAUACCGCAUACGUCCUACGGGGGAAAGCAGGGGAUCUUCGGACCUUGCGCUAAUAGAUGAGCCUAAGUCGGAUUAGCUAGUUGGUGGGGUAAAGGCCUACCAAGGCGACGAUCUGUAGCGGGUCUGAGAGGAUGAUCCGCCACACUGGGACUGAGACACGGCCCAGACUCCUACGGGAGGCAGCAGUGGGGAAUAUUGGACAAUGGGGGGAACCCUGAUCCAGCCAUGCCGCGUGUGUGAAGAAGGCCUUUUGGUUGUAAAGCACUUUAAGCGAGGAGGAGGCUCCUUUAGUUAAUACCUAAAGUGAGUGGACGUUACUCGCAGAAUAAGCACCGGCUAACUCUGUGCCAGCAGCCGCGGUAAUACAGAGGGUGCGAGCGUUAAUCGGAUUUACUGGGCGUAAAGCGUGCGUAGGCGGCUUUUUAAGUCGGAUGUGAAAUCCCUGAGCUUAACUUAGGAAUUGCAUUCGAUACUGGAAAGCUAGAGUAUGGGAGAGGAUGGUAGAAUUCCAGGUGUAGCGGUGAAAUGCGUAGAGAUCUGGAGGAAUACCGAUGGCGAAGGCAGCCAUCUGGCCUAAUACUGACGCUGAGGUACGAAAGCAUGGGGAGCAAACAGGAUUAGAUACCCUGGUAGUCCAUGCCGUAAACGAUGUCUACUAGCCGUUGGGGCCUUUGAGGCUUUAGUGGCGCAGCU
rnacentral:rRNA from 1 species